rnacentral:rRNA from 1 species
GACGAACGCUGGCGGCGUGCCUAAUACAUGCAAGUCGAACGCAGUGGGGACGGGUGAGUAACCCGUGGGUAACCUCCCAUCAGAGGGGAUACCACUUGGAAACAGGUGCUAAACCGAUACUGAUGGAUGGUCCCGCGGGGCAUUAGCUAGUUGGUGAGGUAACGGCUCACCAAGGCGACGAUGCAUAGCCGGCCUGAGAGGAUGAUCAGCCACACUGGGACUGAGACACGGCCCAGACUCCUACGGGAGGCAGCAGUAGGGAAUCUUGGGCAAUGGACGAAAGCCUGACGGAGCAAUGCCGCGUGUAUGAAGAAGGUUUUCGGGUUGUAAAGCUCUGUUGUUAGAGAAGCGGUAUCUAACGAGAAAGCCACGGCUAACUACGUGCCAGCAGCCGCGGUAAUAC